CAAGAACCUGAACCUGACUGGCAGACACAUUAUGUCAGAAUAAUUAGAUCAUGCGAUGAUUACUUGGUGGCAAGGCGAUGGUUAACAAAAUAUAUGUCCUGUGACACAUCUGAUCUCCAUUCAGAAGAGGAGGCAAUUCCUAAAAGGAGAAAGCCAAUGCCUGUCCAUUUCUUUGGGGACUCGGAUGCAGACAGCGAGACUGAAAAUCGCCACCCCAAAAAAAAAAAGGGUCCAACCACUAGCAGGACAGUUGCCCCUCCUCCAACUAUUGUCCCAUCUCCUCCACAGACUUCAUCACCAGCAGGACAGCGAACAAGCCAUGCAGGCUGCUCAAGUUCAAAUGAUGGCCAUGCUGGAGACGCUUACACAGCAGGUCCAUCAAUUAACACAGCAGGUCCAUCAAUUAACUUCCAAAAUUGACAGCUUUGUUCGCCCCAGCGUGACACAAAUGUCUGGUCAAGAAGUGGAGUGGAGAGACCCGUUUCCGUUGACCACAAUGCAGGAAGUGGACAUGUUUGAGCAACAGCUCAAAGAUCCAGCCAACGCUUUAAUGAAGAAGAGUGUGACUUCAUCACCAGCAGGACAGCGAACAAGCCAUGCAGGGUACACACCAACCUGGCGAGGGGCGAGGUGUGGUUCAGACGCCAUCGCCUGCUGUGCUCAAAGAUCCAGCCAACGCUAUAAUGAAGGAGAGUGGUGAGUUGUUGUUUUUUUAACCCUUGUGUUGCCUUAGGGUCAUUUUGAC